UACGAAGGGGGCUAGCGUUGUUCGGAAUCACUGGGCGUAAAGCGCACGUAGGCGGACUUUCAAGUCAGGGGUGAAAUCCCGGAGCUCAACUUCGGAAUUGCCUUUGAUACUGUUGGUCUCGAGUCCGGAAGAGGUGGGUGGAAUUCCUAGUGUAGAGGUGAAAUUCGUAGAUAUUCGGAAGAACACCAGUGGCGAAGGCGACUCACUGGACAUGUAUUGACGCUGAGGUGCGAAAGCGUGGGGAGCAAACAGG
rnacentral:rRNA from 1 species